AUGCGCAUUUCAUUGACCUGCCUUCCGGUAUAUACCGGCAGUGUUAUUUCUCAUGCGCUGUACAAAUAGCUGAAGCUUAAUCAGCAGUAUAAUUCAGUAGUAAUGCUGCCAGCCUCCUUCAGACAAAC